rnacentral:rRNA from 1 species
UACGAAGGGGGCUAGCGUUGCUCGGAAUCACUGGGCGUAAAGGGUGCGUAGGCGGGUCUUUAAGUCAGGGGUGAAAUCCUGGAGCUCAACUCCAGAACUGCCUUUGAUACUGAGGACCUCGAGUCCGGGAGAGGUGAGUGGAACUCCGAGUGUAGAGGUGAAAUUCGUAGAUAUUCGGAAGAACACCAGUGGCGAAGGCGGCUCACUGGCCCGGUACUGACGCUCAGGUGCGAAAGCGUGGGGAGCAAACAGG